rnacentral:rRNA from 1 species
AUUGAACGCUGGCGGUAGGCUUAACACAUGCAAGUCGAACGAGUGGCGGACGGGUGAGUAAUGUCUGGGAAAUUGCCUGAUGGAGGGGGAUAACUACUGGAAACGGUAGCUAAUACCGCAUACUAUCGGAUGUGCCCAGAUCGGAUUAGCUAGUAGGUGGGGUAAAGGCUCACCGAGGCCACGAUCCCUAGCUGGUCUGAGAGGAUGACCAGCCACACUGGGACUGAGACACGGGCCAGACUCCUACGGGAGGAAGCAGUGGGGAAUAUUGCACAAUGGGCGCAAGCCUGAUGCAGCCAUGCCGCGUGUAUGAAGAAGGCCUUCGGGUUGGAAAGUACUUUCGGCGGGGAGGCGUUACCCGCAGAAGAAGCACCGGCUAACUCCGUGCCAGCAGCCGCGGUAAUUC